rnacentral:rRNA from 1 species
AUUGAACGCUGGCGGCAGGCCUAACACAUGCAAGUCGAGCGGUAACACAGGGAGCUUGCUCCUGGGUGACGAGCGGCGGACGGGUGAGUAAUGUCUGGGAAACUGCCUGAUGGAGGGGGAUAACUACUGGAAACGGUAGCUAAUACCGCAUAACGUCGCAAGACCAAAGAGGGGGACCUUCGGGCCUCUUGCCAUCAGAUGUGCCCAGAUGGGAUUAGCUAGUAGGUGGGGUAACGGCUCACCUAGGCGACGAUCCCUAGCUGGUCUGAGAGGAUGACCAGCCACACUGGAACUGAGACACGGUCCAGACUCCUACGGGAGGCAGCAGUGGGGAAUAUUGCACAAUGGGCGCAAGCCUGAUGCAGCCAUGCCGCGUGUAUGAAGAAGGCCUUCGGGUUGUAAAGUACUUUCAGCGGGGAAGAAGGCGAUAAGGUUAAUAACCUUGUCGAUUGACGUUACCCGCAGAAGAAGCACCGGCUAACUCCGUGCCAGCCGCCGCGGUAACAC